AGUGAACGCUGGCGGUGGGCCUAACACAUGCAAGUCGAACGGCAGCACAGUAAGAGCUUGCUCUUACGGGUGGCGAGUGGCGGACGGGUGAGGAAUACAUCGGAAUCUACUUUUUCGUGGGGGAUAACGUAGGGAAACUUACGCUAAUACCGCAUACGACCUACGGGUGAAAGCAGGGGAUCUUCGGACCUUGCGCGAUUGAAUGAGCCGAUGUCGGAUUAGCUAGUUGGCGGGGUAAAGGCCCACCAAGGCGACGAUCCGUAGCUGGUCUGAGAGGAUGAUCAGCCACACUGGAACUGAGACACGGUCCAGACUCCUACGGGAGGCAGCAGUGGGGAAUAUUGGACAAUGGGCGCAAGCCUGAUCCAGCCAUACCGCGUGGGUGAAGAAGGCCUUCGGGUUGUAAAGCCCUUUUGUUGGGAAAGAAAAGCAGCAGGUUAAUACCCCGCUGUUCUGACGGUACCCAAGAAUAAGCACCGGCUAACUUCGUG
rnacentral:rRNA from 1 species